rnacentral:lncRNA from 1 species
AGGUGUGGAAUCUACGGCUUUGCAGGGAAAGGAAAAGGAUCAAAUAGAGGUUGUUGGAGAUGGGAUUGAUGCAGUGAAGCUUGCAACUUUGCUCAGAAAAAAUGUUGGCUAUGCAGAGCUUGUGACCGUGAGCCCAGUUGGUGAGAAGAAAGAUGGUGAUAAAAAGGAUGAUGGCAAGACAGAUCCCAGUUCUACGGAGCCACCUGUGGUUUGGUCCACUUAUCCUUAUGUUUACAGCAGCGUACCUCACCAUCUCUAUCAAGCUAGAGACCCCUAUUAUGACUCCAACUGCACCAUCAUGUAAGAAAGCAGGACACAAGAAAUUUGGGAAUUUUAGGGUGACCGAUCUUUUUCCCAGUCAUACAUGGAAAAGUGAAGUUCAGGGGUGCUGCUAAAUUUUAGGCAUGGUCCUCCAGAGAACUGGAAUAAAGAUGAGAAUUCAAUCAUAAUAAGGUGAAGGGAAGAUACUUGGGUCCGUAGGGGGAGGACUCUCUUUCCUGGGGCUGGGGCUAAUAAACCAGUUGGAGCUAUUGCCUAGGUCUAAAUUUUGGCUUGUUUCAAGUAGUUGGUUGGUUUGUAUAUUCGGUGGUUGUAUUUGAGAUCCUAGGAACAAGUGUUUCGAUAACCAAUAUUUUGUUUCCAAUCAUAAAUAUAUUUUUUAAUUCACUUUUUUAUAUCACUUUAUUAUAUUUUCAAUCCAUCUUUCGUGCUAUUUUUUUAUAUCAUAAAAAAUAUUAGUAUAAUAAUUAUUUCGAAUAAUAUUUUAAUUAAUACUUUAUCCAAAUACUAAUAUCCGUGUGGUACCAUUUUUUUUCGCCCUUGUUUUGUAAGUUUGAUUUGUUUUUGCAGAGAGAAAGUUAAAGCAUAUUAGAUUUAUUUGCGUAAUUGAAUUAAUGAGAGAGUUUUUGACAUUCCAACGAGUUGAUCCUUAAUUAAUUAAGCUUCGUUUCUCAACCAUAGAAAUCAAGAUGGUAGUUUGUAGCACAUGGUUUAUGCAAGUUAUAUUGUACUUAAAACCUUGGGAUGCAACUGAAUCGAGCUGCUCGUUUGGAGUUGAUCAAGAUGAAUUCGAGUUCAAAAAUUUUUAGUUCGUUAGCUAGCGAUCCGACUCGAGUAUAUAUAUAUUAUUUUUUAUUUUAAUAGUAAAAUUACAUAUAUAUUUUUUAAUAUUUUAUUAUUUGUUACAAAAAUUAUUAUUUUAUCUAUUUUUAAAAAUAAAAAUAAUUAUUUUUAAUUUUUUAAUUUCGAAUUUGAACUUUACAUUGAGAGCUCAUCGAACUCGAAUUAGAGUUCGAGUUUCAUAAAAUUAAAUUGAGAUUCGACUCGACUCGGCUCGUUUGCACCCCUGCUUAAAGUCACGUCAAGGGGUUAUAUCCAUUCGGUAACGAAAUACUAAACAACAAUUUAACAGUAGUAUAAUUUGAUGUAUGAUAAGAUUAUGGAUGACUAUACGAAUAUGCUUCCUUGAACCAAAAAUAAAGAGAGUAAAUUAACAAACCUGCAGCCCAAUUCUUUAUCCAUCCACUAAGAAAGAUUAGGGCCUGCCUGACUCCUCUGAUGCCAAACUAGGAAGAGUCAAGAAAUCUUGACAAUGCUUUUCUUAGAUGGCAUCCAGGGAGCCAGGCAGACCAUUUCUGCCUGCAUUUAUUUGGAUGAUGUUGGUUUAGCUGAUAUCCUUCCUCAACAUUAUUGUUUUCUGCAUCGUGCAACACGUUCUAAUGAAAAAAGUCCUAUGGCUGUUAGUUGUUACACAAUCGAUUCAUAAAAUUCUGGAAUUUUCUUAAAUUUGACGAUAAAAUGUGCACCAAAGAAUUUUUUUUUUUUGGCCUUUCUUUCUUUUAAUGUUCCUACAUCAAAGUAGUCAUCAGUUCACAUAUUUUCCAAACAUAAGGAAAUGAAAUCAGAACUUUUGAUAAGUUACAUACACAACACGACCCGAUAUAGGGUUCACGGCAUAUUUUAUCUGAUUCCAAUGAAUGAAAGGUGAGACAGUACCUUCUAAAAAGACUUUUCUUUUACUCCUCCUUUUGUGUUCGAGAGAUUACCCCAUAUAUUAUUAUUUUUCCGUGUUGAAUUUUCCUUAGUCGAAGUAGUCAGCAGUUCGUAUAUUUUCCAAACAUGAUAUAAUCAUAUACUAGCUUCGCAAAAUCGAUCCUUCUGUUCUGUGCCUGGAUUAAGAUGUUGUUGGGUUCAAUUUCCUGCGGUUUUCUUGUUAGACAAAUUUCUGGGAUUGAGCUUGAACUCAUGUUUAUUUCAAUUGUUUCGCUUUUUUUUUUUUUUUUUUUUUUUUUUCUCUGCAAUAGUUCUUUUGUGGCCAGAACAUUCAAGACAUUAAUGCUUAAAAAGAUGUAAGAGGAAAACCUCCUCAACCUACAGCAAGUCAAAUUUGGUUUCCAUUGGAGGACUGCUCCUAAAUUUCACGCGUUCACGCUUCACACACAAAGUUGACGCGGUUGGGAGAAAGGACCCCGGCUAAAGUAGAACCGAAGGGUGUCAGAAUUUUCCAACUUGAUUUAGGCUCUGUUUGGAUUCAGAUUUUUUUGAAAAAUAAUUUUUUUAUCUACAAUGGUACAGUAAUACACAAAUAAAAAUAAUUUCAAAUACAUCAUAUCUAUACAAUAUAUAAAAAAUAACUCCAAAUAUACAAAAUAAAAUUACACAACUAUCCAUCACUCUCCACCAUCACGGCCACCACCCCCACACUCACGACUCUCUCUCCGCUCAUCUUUCCUCCGUCUCUCCUCCUUUUUUCCUCUUCCUCUAUCUCUUUCUCCUUCCUCCUUUCUUCUUUCCCUUUCCCCGCCCCCCAAUUUUCUUCUUCUCGACUGAUCGCACCCUUCUUAGUCACAAUCAAAUCUGAUUGCGACUGAAGCCGUGACCAAAACGAUCGUGGUUAGAAUGGUGACUAAAGUCGCAGCCACCACUAGCGAGCAAGAGAGGGGUUUGGAGUUGGGGGGAAGGAGGGGAGGGGGAGAAGGAAGAAGGGGGAAGGAGGAGGAGGAGGAGGCAAUAGAGGGGAAGAGGAGAGGAAGAGAAAGGAGAGAGGGGGAGGAAAAGGGAGGGGAUAAUGGUGGGUUGUGUAAAAUUAAAAAAAAUUCCAAAAAAAUUAUAAAUUAUAAAAAUAUUCAAAAAUAUAUUUUAAAAAUAUCUCUAAAAAUAAUUCAAAAAACAUCUACAGUAAAAGUUUUUCAUAUACACAACUACAUUAAAGUUUUUGAAAAAUACCUCAAAAAACAGUUAAUCCAAAGAGCCGAUUGUUUCAAAAAAUUGCACAACUUUUUGUUGAAUAUUGGCCCUAACUAAAAGCCAUUUAUUAAUUUUAAAGUGUUUCUUUGUUUUUUUUUUUUGGCUUUAAUCUUCAUAAAGAAACAAGGUAGCUGAUAAUUAAGAGUCCGUGGUGUAUAUCUAAUUUUUAAUUUUUUUUUUUGUAUAGAAACAAUUAAAAUUGUCCGUUUGAAUUGCUAUUUUUUUGCAUUUUUGUAAAAAAAAAAAAAAAAAAGGGUACUGUAACGAUUUGAUGUAUGUGAAACAAAAAUGUGAUUGAAAAAUGUAUUCUUAGAUAACGUAAAAUUUUUUUGAAUAUAAAUGGCAAUCCAAACAAAAACAAAAGUACUAUUGCUUAUUCACUCGUAUUAUGAAUAUCCGUUGUUGGAGGAGAGUGAUGAUUCAACAAAUUUUCACAUAUUGCGCCCUCUUCUGCAUCCUUCUCCCCUUUUGACCCAAAACUUUUGGGUAUAAGGUUCAUCAACUCUCUCUGAUUGAGUCCCAAACCCCUCGAAAAGGCCUAACACGAUAGUCUUCUAAUUCAUUUUCACUUCUUCAGCGAGUUUGAAAUUGAUUUACAACCUGCUAUAUUUGCUAUCCCAACCGACCUUUCGCCUAAUUCGGAUUGACUUGAGUUCAAGUAACUUGAUUUACUCAAAUACUCACUACUGUAUCUCAAGUUCUAUACUGUAAAAGCCUAUUUCAACAACUUAACUAGCAUCGAAUUCUAUUCAAUAAGGAAGGUUUACUCGGUCGUCACAAAAGUCUGGACGAGUUUCUGAUGCGACCAGCCCCACUGGAAUACCGAGCCGUGUUUCAGGCUACUUGGUGCAUAUCGUCCCAAGUUCCACCUUCUAGGUGAUAGCACUGAAGAUGACCUUUUCUGGGUCUAUGGAACUGAUCAUUGACCGUCAACGGCAAUAUAAUAUUUUUUUAGACGAUAAUUAUUGUAUAAUUUAUUUUAUUUUAUAUUAAAAAGAUCGGAUGAAUCUGAAAAAAUUCAAAAAUAAUUCGAAAGACAUCGAAUCACCACAAAAUCGAAACAGAUGCACCACACAUUCAUCUAAAUUUUUAAGCAGAGCUAUAUAAUAUAAUAAUUAAAGAGAAAAGAUUUAAAUAAUUGGCUUCCCAACCCACCAAGCUUGAAUGCCAAAGGCUGGUCGUUGGCACGAUAUUGUCAUUGUGGGUCAUCUUAUUUAGUGAUGUUUCUUUGUAUCUUCUGAAGCUGUCGUCAUCUAAGCAAAGGGCCCUAUAAAUAGGUAGAGCGGCAGUUGACUAGCACGGCAGAAUAACCCAUUCUAAGGCCGAAAGAAGAACGACUUCUGCAGUCUCUUUUCUCAGCUAGAGCUGUUCAUUUUUUUUUCAGUCGUUUUACUUGCGGAAUUAAGGCAAUGAAGGUGAUGCUCUGAUUCAUUUAUUUAACUUAAUCUUGUGCCUUGUCUGGCAAAAGAUAUGUAGCUAACUAAUUUCAAUUUGGUUCCUUGAUUUUGUUACCUGCAGCAAAAAGUCGUGAUUAAACUUUCUAUGAAUGAUGAGAAGUCCCGCAAGAAGGCCUUCAAAACUGUUGUCGGUCACGCAGGUAAAGAAGAAAGUUCAAUUUUUCAAGAAUUAGAUUCCGCAAAAUACGUGAUAAAACUGAUUCUAUUACCUUAGUUCUUGAGAUUCUAAGAAAGAAUUCGGCUGAGAUUCUUAUACAGAUUCUGACCAUCAUUCCUCUGCUUUAUCUUCAGGUGUGGAAUCUACGGCUUUGCAGGGAAAGGAAAAGGAUCAAAUAGAGGUUGUUGGAGAUGGGAUUGAUGCAGUGAAGCUUGCAACUUUGCUCAGAAAAAAUGUUGGGUAUGCAGAGCUUGUGACCGUGAGCCCAGUUGGUGAGAAGAAAGAUGGUGAUAAAAAAGAAGAUGGCAAGAAAGAUCCCAGUUCUACACAGCCACCUGUGGUUUGGUCCACUCAUCCUUAUGUUUACAGCAGCGUACCUCACCAUCUCUAUCAAGUUAGAGACCCCUAUGAUGACUCCAACUGCACCAUCAUGUAAGAAUGCAGGUCACAAGAAAUUUGGGAAUUUUAGGGUUACCGAUCUUUUUCCCAGUCAUACAAGGAAAAGUGAAGUUCAGGGGUGCUGCUAAAUUUUAGGCAUGGUCCUCUAGAGAACUGGAAUGAAGAUGAGAAUUCAAUCAUAGUAAGGUGAAGGGAAGAUACUUGGGUCCGUAGGGGGAGGACUCUGUUUCUUGGUGCUAAUAAACCAGUUGGAGCUAUUGCCUAGGUCUAGAUUUUGGCUUGUUUCAUGCUUAAAAAAAAAAAAAAAAAAUAUUUUGGCUUGUUUCAAGUGGUUGUUUGGUUGUUUUGUAUAUUCAAUGGUUGUAUUUGACAUCCUAGGAACAAGUGUUUGGAUAACUCAAUUUUGCCGAAUGAUAUUUCUUCAGUGUCAUAAACAUAUUUUUUAAUUCAUCUUUUUAUAUUUUCAAUCACAUCACAUAUAUCAAAUCACAGAAGGUAUCACAUAUAUCAAAUCACAGAAGGUAGUACAAUAAUUAUUUCAAAUAACACUCUAUCCAAAUUAAUAUCUAUGUAGUACCACUUUUGGUUUCCCUUGUUUUGUAAGUUUGAUUUGUUUUUGCAGAGAGAAAGGUGAAGCAUAUUAGAUAUCUUUUGCGUAAUUGGAUUAAUAAGAGAGUUUCUGACUUUCCAAUGAGUUGAUCCUUGAUGAAUUAAGCUUCGUUUCUCAACAAUAGAAAUCAAGACGUCGCACAUGGUUUAUGCAAGUUAUAUUGUAGUUAAGACCUUGGGAUGCAACUGAAUCGAGCUGCUCGUUUGGAGUUGAUCAAGAUGAAUUCAAGUUCAAAAAUAUUUAGUUCGUUAGCUAGCGAUCCAACUCGAGUAUAUAUAUAUAUAUAUAUAUACAUAUAUAUAUUAUUUUUUAUUUUAAUAGUAAAAUUACAUAUAUAUUUUUAAUAUUUUAUUAUUUGUUACAAAAAUUAUUAUUUUAUUUAUUUUUAAAAAUAAAAAUAAUUAUUUUUUAAUUUUUUAAUUUCGAAUUCAAACUUUAUAUUGAGAGCUCGUCGAACUCGAGUUUCAUAAAAUUAAAUUGAAACUCGACUCGUUUGCAUCCCUGCUUAAAGUCACAUCAAGGGGUUAUAUCCAUUCGGUAACGAAAUACUAAACAACAAUUUAACAGUAUAAUUUGAUGUAUGAUAAGAUUAUGGAUGACUAUACGAAUAUGCUUCCUUGAGCCAAAAAUAAAGAGAGUAAAUUAACAAACCUGCAGCCCAUUUCUUUAUCCAUCCACUAAGAAAGAUUAGGGCCUGCCUGACUCCUCUGAUGCCAACUAGGAAGAGUCAAGAAAUCUUGACAAUGCUUUUCUUAGAUGGCAUCCAGGGAGCCAGGCAGACCAUUUCUGCCUGCAUUUAUUUGGAUGAUGUUGGUUUAGCUGAUAUCCUUCCUCAACAUUUGUUUUCUGCAUCGUGCAACACGUUUUGUCACCACAUUAACACUGGAAGAUGCAUGCUACAAAUUGAAGCUAUUACUUAAGUAACAUAUUUUAAGUGUUAACUCAACUUGCCAGCCAUCCCAAACAUAAACUUACAAAGAAGAAGGAAGAAAAAAAAAUAACUUACAAAGAAGGAUGUCCCUACAUCUUUAGUCUUUUACCUAUCCAUUCAACUCCAGCUAAUUAGCAAAGGGGAAAGUGCGGGCCAAGAAGGACCAAUGCACAGAAUCUGACAUGAAAAUGUUAUUGGGCUUGAAAGGCACUGAAGUAUUCAAACCUUAUCUAGCAAUAUGGAUGGUUGUAGUUUAGACUUCCUAUCCAAGAUAGAUAACUAGUUUGACUCCUAUUCAUGGCUUAAAAUGAAAGGGAGAUUGUAUGUUUAUGAUUUCCUGGUGCUGUCUUACAUUGCUGUUGAUCAAGCCUUGCUCAGUUCUAAAGGAAUCUAGUUUAGCACACCAACUGCUCUCUGAAUAUGAAUAAAAUUAGUAUAUAUACUUGAUGGUUUUCAUGAUUGUAAUAUAAAAUUAGUACACUUGGAACUCAAUUGAAUAAUACAGUUAAGAUUGACAUUGCAUGUUAGGAUCUAUAGCCUCAAGAAACUUGGUGCUAAACCAUACAAGAGUGUCCAGAAGCUAAACAAGUGUGCAAAUUAUUGUCAAUGACUAAACAGACGUCCACUUACCAGCGAUCCUAGAGUGGCAAAGAAUGCAGCAUCAAAUGAAGAAGCAAACUAGAAAACCCUCCUCCUCCAUCCUUCUUGCUCAUGUUCUAUUUUCAAAGAUUCAUUACUGCUCUCCCUAUCUCAAACAUACUCGAAAUCGGAAUUUUUGAGAGGAUGGAAGUCGAAUGCGUACAGGGAUUGCUAUUUAAACUAGUUUUGAAGAGGAAGGACAAGAGAAGAUCCAAGCACAAGUUUGGAUGGACAGCUCUUGGGGGCAGGCGGCAAAGGCUUUUCACAAAUGCAAACACAUUUUCUAUAGCCUCACCUGUAGGGUGGGUGAUAGGACCAAAGAACAAAUUUAGGUUGUUUUGUAUGCGAAUUUAACAACUUUGGCUGGCUUUCCCUCUCAUUGCAAAUGGCCAUUUGCCCUAUCACCUUCGUUGUGAUUAAAUUAUUGAAAAAGCCUGAUUUUGCACACUCAGUUAUUUUGCACCUUCAUUUUAAAGAGUCAAUAAUGAAAAGGGUUAAUUUUGCAUACUUGUUAUCGUUUAAUCUUAAAUUGUCUACAAAACACUAGUCCAAAAGCAACUCUUUAGUGUUUCUACACCAACCUCAAUGAACAAACUUUUUUUCCCCCCUAUUUUGAAGCUUGUCGAAGAGCAAAAAAAAAUUCAAAACUUUGAUUUCAGUUGUUACGGCCUAUUGGAUCCAAAGAUUUUUUUUUUUUUCUGGCUAUUCUUUUUUCCGCAUUCUUCUGAGAUAGAGCCAAAGAAGUGUAAUUAUGUGGAGUUGUUUACCAUAAUCCCAUUAAGAAAAGCAUUUGACUGGCUGAUGUAGACAGGGCCAGAGCCGCUGCAUGAGACAAAAACACCCUUGAUGUGGAAAGGGAUCUUGACGGAUUAACUCAUAUUCAUUCAGCAAAUAAUACACUAUUAUUGAGUUGAUCUCAAUAAAGUAUUUUUGUUUCGAUAGGUUUAGACUUGAUCCAUCUUAGGGGUUGACGGAGCGUUCGUGAGUUGGAGAUCUGCAAGAUCGAAUUACUUGCUAGAGCUCCAAGAUCAAAUUACAUGCUAGAGCCUUAUUAGGAAGCAAGUCCAGGGACCGUAGCCUGCUUUUGUGAUCAUUGACAGAUUCAUCCAAAAAUCCAAUGUUGGACGAUAUUUGAUUGCAAAUUGAAGGAUUCUAUAAUCAAAUCAUGUACAAGUUUUUUUUAUUUUUUUUGUUUUGAAUUGGUAGAGGUUCUAGAGUUUAACUUGUACGGUUGUAUCCUUUUAUUGGAGCCCCAUCACAACAAAAUUAAUUUGGCCAUAAUUAGUGAUUCUGUUCUUUGUUUUUGUUGUGAUUCAAUUGAUUACAUGAGAAAUUAGUGCGAAUUUAUAGCAUCUGUGACGGAUUCAAUAUAUUUUCUGUCGUUAGUGCAGAUUUCAUUGGAAUUGAAAGUAUAUCUUGUUAUAAAAAAGGAAUUAGUUGAUUUUGGUAAAACUCAUUACUAAGAUGUAAUUCAAGAAACAAUUUUAAAGGAAUUGUGGUGAUGAAGUAUCAAUAUUCAUUUGGUGGCAAUCGAGACAAGAUUAGAGUUGAUACAUUUCAAUUGUUAAAUUUCGUGUUCAAUAAGGUGAUGAUAACGCGAUAGAUAAUCGAGAUUGUCUUACCCCCCCGUGCAGAAAGUAAACAUCUUUGUCAAAUCAUUGGUCAAUCAAUGGUCAAUCAAUGUUCGGGAUUAGUUAUUUUCGGCACUUGAGAGUUGAGAAAAAUGCUUGUCAGGAAGGAAAUUUCAACACAAACUAUUACGUGAAGGACUCAUCAAGUCAAAUAUCAAACGAAGUCGUACACAGUAGUAUCACUAUUUCUUCAGAGAAAUCAAAUUUUAAUUGAGAACACUUCCCGAAGCAUUCGUUCAUGUAGAACUCUUCUGUCAACGGAAAAGUGUGUUUGAUAAAGGUGAAGUAUAAAAGCUGGAAUUUAAAAUUUUGAAUUCAUUAUGUUACUGAAUUGUUAUGUAUUAAAUGUGAUACAUUUGAAUAUACAUCACGUUAAAUUUUGUCUAAAAAAUUCAGUGGCUCUUAAUUAAUUUAGAUGUUCUAUUUUUAACUAUCAAAUGCGUCUCUGUAAAUGUUAAAAUCUGAACCUAUUAAAAUUAAGUGUAGAAUUGGUUUAUUAAACAGGGCCUAAGUAUACAAGGGAUUCUAAUUUAUACAAAUUAUUUCUUUUUUGAAAAAUAUUUUGGAUGAAGAAUGUCCAUUUGGCACUCGUUUCAGGAGGUCCAAGUGUUAAUUUUUUAUUUUUUAUUUUUAAAAAGUGUAGUUAAUUUGGAUCAGUAUUUUAAAUGCGAAGGGUGUAACAAUUGCAUUUGUGAUUAUAUACUUUCACAUGAAAAGUAUUUAUGUAUGCUAACGAGUACUUAUUGGAUACCUAUUAGAAUAAUCUUUAACGAAUAACCCUAAAACAUCUCAAACAAAACGAAGAUAAAAUGAUUGAUAAGCAAAUAUACCUCUUCUCCUAUGUUCAAAUUCUUCAAAAGAGAAACAGACAAGCUAAGGCGUAUCCCAUUCCGAUAAAAUCAUAAAGAUGUAUGCCCAUUUUUUUUUUCUUUAGGAUGUACGACAUGCAUAAAACAGAACCAUCAAUUCUUCAAGGAACAAAAUAUUACUCUGCCAAUGACCUAAAUGGAACUUACAAAUUUCCUUGAUCUUCUCCUAAAUGGAAUUUGACAUAACGCUUUGUUUUUCCCUUUUUUUUUUUUUUGGUUAGUGUGGAAGCAUUAUUACUGACUUUUGUGUACAUAAUGGACUUCUAUAAAACCACACAUUCCUCAAAUUUCUAUGCAGAAGACAAUUCUUACAUCAGUAAUUUCUUUAUCUGCGAAUAACAAUCUUCUUCUGAUUCGAUGCAUGAAAAUGUUCACAGAAUCAAAGGACAUUGAAUGGGGACAUCAAAGGUAUAGAAUAAAUGUAGAAAAUCUCAGUUUCAUUUUGGUUGCUCAGUGGAAAUUGGCAAGAAAUCACUGAAUUGAUUUGGUGGUGAAAUUUUUUCACGUUCGAUUUGGUUGUUUUACUUGCUCAAUCAGGGCAGGAAAACAAACAGCUGGCGUGCAAUAUUAGGCCCGGAACUCAGGAAGCCCCAAAGUCCAUGCGUCUUAUUCUUUUAGCCAGGUGGGUGGACCUAUACCAAUUAUGAAUGUGAUAAGACCAACCACUGGGCCAAUGGCCUUCUUGAGCUAUAGGUGAGGUUCGGCGAAAAACAUCUGAGGAUUGCAAAUUGCAAAAUGGUCCCUUGUGAAAGGAAAAGCAGAAAAAACGAUACUGACCAAUAGAGAAAGCUUGAAGAUAAACCUCCUCAAGAACAUUCGCUAUAAGGACCAUUUCUCAGAAACGUUAAAGCAAAGCAAAAUUAUAAAAGGGGAUCUAAGGCAUGCGGAACUGCAAGCACUUACCCAACACAACUAUUAGGGUUGACAUUCUUUAAAGUUGAAACUUUUUACACUCGCUUUUUGUUUUUUCUUUCUUUUUUUGGGGGUAAAAGGCAUCUGAGUCCAUCUCAGAAGCUCAGUAAGGGUAAAAAACAAAUGUGACAUGCCAUCCCAUGCCAAAUGCUGCCAAAGUGGAGUGGAGGAAGAAUAUGCAGAAAUAUUCAUCAGUGGGCUGUCACAUUCAUCUGCUCAAAUGAUCCCUUGCAUCAUUCCAAGUGAAGCGGGUGGGGACCAGGGGCAGGAACGGUGGUUGCUCUGAAGGUUACGUGCAUUUUGCACACGGCGUAAUUCUGUUUGCACAUGGAAUAACUUACUUUCAACAACGUGUAAUUUUUAAAUAAAAUUUUGUGGGUCUUACGCAUGUUAUUAAAAACGAGGUACAAGAUGAAAUUUGAACCGUAUAAUUUUUUUUUUUGCUAAAUCUUGACCGUGAACUAUCGGAAACAGUUGCUUCCUGCAACAGUUCUUGCCUCUCUUCCAGCAGGUGUGGAUGGUCAUCAACGCAUAAGAGGCUCGAAAUAACAUGCUUGACGUGACCACAUAUGAGAGAAUAAUAAUAUAAGUGCAAGGUUGGAACUCGGAACUUCAAAAUAUGCUCGAGACCCAUACAUACAUACAUACAUAUAUAUAUAUACGUGUGUGUGUGUGAGCUCAUGCACUCAAAAGAAACAAAGAAGCCAAGAAAAAGGAUCAAUCGGGAGGUAAUGACUGUAGAAUUGAGAGGCAACCAGGCUAGCAAAGUAGCAAACUCUUCAAAUCUCUGCCUCUCUCCCGAGCAGACAAGGUAGUAAUGAAUAAUGAUAAGGGCCAUUUCUGACAACAUCGAAGCGCAGCCUAAUUGAAUUGGUCUGUUUCACUUACAACUAACAUAAUUGAAUUGGUAUGUUUCACUUACAACUAACAGGUCACAGGUUAAAAUCACUAAAGAGAUAAAUGGGAAAUCAUUAUUGAUCAUUUAAAUAAAAAAAAAAAAGAAGAGGUUCAUAUCCUUGGUUAACAGGGUCGUAUCCCAAAUUCUAGUAGUUCAUUUAAUUGAAAGAACUUUAAAAAAAAUAAAUAAAAAUAAAUAAUUGUGCAAUUUCACUAGAUAGAAUGACAACCUUGUAAAUGGGGACAUUGAACUCAAGUUAGAAUAACCUUAUCUUUGUGGAAUUUUAUAAGUAACUUAAUAGUUAAAGCUGUAUACAAGUCAGAUCGCUUGCGAGCAAUUCGAAUCAAAACUCAACUUAACCUCAAUCAACACCAAAUUUGAGCUGAUCAAGUCGAAUUCGAACUCGAACUUGAUUUCAAAAAUACUCCAUUCUCAAUUAGACCGAAUCUCAACUACUCGACUUGUUUAUAGCCCUUCGCCGGUCCAAAAAAAAAAGGCAUUUCAAGUCACAUAGUAAAGUUGACAAUUUAAAAAACGAUUAUGUUGCACUCUGUUGACAGUAAUAUGCUUAAAUUAGCUUAUGAUUACCUCAUUUGAAUCUAAAUGCUUCCUUCUGCGAUCUUUUUGUCUUAAUUUACGUGUCCAAGACGCGAAUUUCAUAUUCACGACUUUUUUUGAGUUUGUUUUUGACAAAUUCUGAAAGCAAUGGCUGUUCUAGAGGAAAAGAGAAAUCAAACAAUUAUUGGGAAUUGGUGGUCUGCUCUCUACUCAACGUAUUAGUGGUUGGAUGCAGAUUUUUCCUCCUUUUUACUUCUUCUGUAAAAGCUGUACUCUUCUUAGGGGGGAAACAAGAACUUAAAGGGUCAAAAGAGCUAUCAAUGGCCGCAUACAUUAAAAGAAUUGAAAAUUCUCAGAGUAUGCAAGUGAGGAAAUCAAAUUCUAGAAUUUAGUAUGUCAGCGUUUACGUUAGUUUUUGUACAACGCUGUAAGACUUUCAGGUGUGAUUUUAUUUAGAGAAUUCACAAUAGAUAAUUUUGACCGUAAUGUAUAAAUUGACAUCUUUUUGGAGGUGUGACAAAAUUAAAAAUUGCCUUCCAAUUUUUACGCGCCUAGAAGUGUUAUUGAUAAAAUGGCCGGUUUGCCGCAACGGAUCUUCUGUCUCACGCUCUGUGUCACUUUCUGUCUCAUUUUUUAUUAUAUUGCUAUUUCAACUACAUAAACAUCAUGUUUUAGUUUUUUUUUCUUAAAAUUUAAUAACUAUUAAUUGAGUAAAAAAUAAAUACAACAGCUUCAAAAAAACAAUAUAUAACAGAAAAUUAAAAAAAUAUAGCAGAAAAAUCAUAAAAAAUCUCAUUUUUUAUGCAUUUUGAUUUUUUGAGUUUUUUAAAUUUUGUGUAUUACUCAAUUAAUAGUUAUUGGAUCUUAAGAAAACAAAAAAGAACUAAAACAUGAUGUUUAUGUAGGAGAAAUAGCAAUAUAAUAAAAAGUGAGACAGAGAGUGGCACAGAUUGUGAGACAGAAGAUCCGUUGUGUCGAUUUGCCAUAUUGAUGCCUAUGCCAGAUCUCCUCUGAAAUUGACUUUGUUAUGUUCAUGUGCAAAUAAUUAGAGCAAGCUUCACAAAUUAGAAUUGACAAUUACUUUUAGAUGACUGCUAGCUGGCCCUAUAUACAUACAUAUAUAUAUAUAUCAACAAUGGUCCUGAGUUUUAUAAAUAAAUUAUCUAUACAAUCUAUAAAUAUAUUUUUGUCACUUUAUACAGUUUCAAUUUUGCACUCAUUAAAAUUACUUAUUACUUUACUAAUUAAACACAAAUUGCUAAAAUAACUACAUGGAACUGUUUUUAACCAUAAUUAAUCUAAACAUAUCGUGGCAAAAUGACGGCCUCUAACUGUCUAAGCGUUGUAACUAUUAAAACCAUCAUUUGAUGGGUGCAAAGGUUAAAAUAUCACAAUUUGCUUUAUUAAUGAAAAUUGUAUAUAAAAUUAAUUGGCAAAGAAAAAAAUCUGAAUUACACACACAUCACGCGUGUCUUUAGCACUAGUAUUUAAUAAUACAACUAAUACACACAAAGUAAGUUGAAUGCCAAGGAGGCUUUAACCUAGUGGUUAAUAUUGAAACUUGCAGCAGAGUUAGAGCUUUUGGGUGCAAAUUCCCCCUCCCCACUUCUUAAAUUCCACGCCCCCCCGCUAGAUUAAACUUUUUAUUUAAAAAAAAAAAUGGUAAGCUGAAUAUUGGCAUAUAGUUAGUGAAACUCGCAUAAUGUUAUAAUUGAAUCCAAAACCUUUGAUUCUUGGUCCAAGAUCACUUGAUAGGCUGAAAAAAAAUUCUAAAUAUAAAUUGAAAGGUGGGAAACAAAAAUGAGAACAAAAAUGAGUUUUCACGAUCUUAUUUUUCUAGGAUGUGAUGAUUUUCUAACGUGAAUGUCAAAAAUGUACUACAAGGAAGCAGUUGUGAUGAAGAGUGUGCAUAUCAAAACAAAAAUGAGACAAAUUGUGGACACAGCAGAGACCAAAAGGAUAGAGAAACAAGAACAACUUGGGAUUGAUUAGCAAGUACGGUUCCUACCACCUUCCAAAUUCCAAGCUUCACCUAGAAAUGUUGCCUAUGGAACUGAACUAAUGGAGUUAUUUACUAGUAUUGAUCAGUGACUCUAAAAAAUCUACAUAUCAUUAAUGAGCUGCAAGAUCUAAGGCGUCUUUGCAUGUGUGCAUUGCGCAUCUGCAUGUGCCUUCUUUGUAGCCGUUGAUGAUUAUUAGACAGAUUUUCUGCCUUUUCAACUCUCACAUUAUUGAUUGAAUGGUUUCCUCCAGUUCAUCGUUUUCUUGAAUUGUUGGCGUGAGAAAACCAAUUCAUGGUCUCAAAUUUCGCAGCGUCUGAUGGCAAGUUUGUGGUCCAGUCAUAUAUAUGCUAGUUCCAUAUAUCAAAACCGAAGACCUACCAAAACUUGCAAUUGGAGUUGACAACACACAAAUGUAGACAGAAGAUGGAUCGAUCUCACUAGCCGUUUUUGAUCGAACAGAAGUCAAAUCUCUCCUGCACCCGAGGCAGAUGCCCAAGAAUCUUUUAAUGGCUUUCAACCUAAAUAGUUGCAAGUUCAUAAAAAAUGAUGCUAGAUUCUUCUUUUUCUCCCCCCAUAUUGGUGAUCACUAUAAACUCUCUUCUUUCCUUUUCUUUUUCUAGCCCCUCUUGUUCGAUAUAAAUAACUAACUCUCUCUUAAUUGGAGGGCAGAUUCGACAAAAAGGCACUUUGGCCCUGCGCAAUUGCAGUUAGAACAUUUAGUGUAGUUUAUGGUCAUUGGUCAUUGUCCUUCAAUUUUAUAUUGCCCAAGAAAUGCGCAUCUUGAUGAAUGCUUUCGGAACUUCUAGAGAUGGGAUCCUAAUUUCAUACAUUGCGACUGACGAUGCUAUUGAUGAUAAGACGCUUUGGAUUUGGUCAAAAAUCCCUUCAAUUGGUGGAAACAAUACAUGAAUCUAUUCUCCUAAAAAUUGGGGACUUAAUGUUGGGGGAGAAUCGAUGUAAAACUCAUGUUCUCGAAUUCGAGAUCCUCCACAUGAAUAUUCGCAAAGAAGAAAAAAUAAGGAAAAAAUUCAAACCAUAAAAUUUAAAAAUAGAAAAAGGAUGUGAUAUGAAGGCCUCUAUAAUUUAUUUAGAUGUUAAAAACGCAGAAAAUUCAUUUCAUAAAUCCCAAAUUUCAUACAAGCAAGCAAGGCCACAUUUAUCAGUCAAAUGUCAAUGAAUGACAUGAGAUGAGACGAUGACUAAGUUAUGGAAGAUUCUAAAUCGGAUUCAAAAUUCAAUUAGAGGUUAGCCGAAUUGAAUUGCGAAGGAAUCUUCAAAGGUCUCUCUAUCCCAUAUUCCCAUUUCCUGUUGCUGCCUGCACUUUUUCAACUUCUAUCCGAUCAAGGCACAAUAACAAAAGAUCAAGGGCCCUAAAAGGUCUCACGUAUAUCUCAACUGUCAACACUUUUUUUUUUUUUUUUUAAUCGCCAACUUUUGUUUUAACUCUAUCCUGCAUUAGGGAAGAGGCCAAUUGAAUCAAGGUUUUUUCUUUUUCUUUUUUAGGGUUAAAGUAAAGGGGGAAGAUUUCACGUCUAGACCAAAUCAAUGUAUUACUGCACGUCUUCGCCAAGUGCAGAGAUUUGAAUUCCUGAGUUGCAGUUGGACCUGCACCUUGGUUAACUCGCAGAAAUUUAAAUUCCUGACCUGUAAUUGGACCUGCAUCUUGGUUAACUCUCAACUAUUUAUAUCGCCAUUUUUUCCCUUUUGUUUAUGAGGAAAGAAAAUGCCAUUUUCCUUAAAACUCAGUCUGAUUCCUUUUGAUCAAAGAUCAGCAGCGUUGGCAUUUCUCCACAUCUAGAGCAAAAUUAGCUGUACAAAAUUGGUAAGGCCUUUCGGCCAAUAUUCUUGCCGUUCAUCUGUCCAGAAAGUCGUAAAGAAGUUUUGUGAUUAUCUUCAGAAGUUAUAGGCUUACUAUUGUGCAAUGCUAAUGCACACCCGAUAUCGUGCAAUUAAUUGUUUUGAUGAAAGAAAAAAAUUUGAAAGCAGAAAGAGAGCAGAAAUUACGAGAAGAAGUCAAAGAUAAUAGAGAACUUUUUUGUGGAUAAGUGGAGGAGAAGUAUAAGUGGUUAGCAGUUGUGGGGACAAAAAAAAGGAGAAAUAUUAUUUACGCUCCCCUUUUUGUUAUUUGCACUCUCGCUAUCAUUUUUAUUAUAUAGUUUUCAUUUAUUAGAUUAUAUUGUAUAACAAAUUAUGGGAUUGCAAAGAACAAAAUAUGGAGUGCAAAUAACAUUUUCCAAAGAGUGGAUAAAGUCGUUUAAGAAAUUUUAAAAAUUAAAAUUUAGUAUAUCUUUUUUGCUAAUUUUGGAACCAUCAUACAGUUAAUAAUACAAGAAAUUUUAAAAAGUUACACUGUGUUGUAUAGUUCAUGCAUGAGGGUCAAGUCACAACGCCCUUUCAGCAAGAACCAUUACACUAACUUAUUUUCUUCUACUUUACGUGGUUAAAUUUUUUUUUUUUCCUUAGUUCAAAAGAUGAAUUAUGCGUCCUGCCAAUUAUUACAUACAAUGAGUGACUGAAACUAAUUUCUUGCUUCAUAUUGAGCAAAGGGACCAUGUAAAUUGUAGGUUUGGCCCAGUUUUACUGGUGACGCCACUAGCAAUGUUGGACCACGGGGUUGGUCAUCACCAUCCACUAUGCCUAGUAAAUUUUUUUUGGAUAAGAUAAAAUAUUUCAUUCCAUGAAAUCUGCAUCAACGACAGAAAAUAUAUUGAAAAUAUCACGGAUACAACUAAUCUAAAUAAUUACUACUAGAUUUAAUGACGGAAAAUACGAUGAACAUUAUCACAGAUACAACUAAUCUAAUAAAUCACUGGAUUUAAUGGCAGAAAAUACAUUGAACAUUUCAUACGUACACAACUAAUCUAUAAAAUCAUUGAACAUAUAUCACGGAUACAACUAUUCUAAGAGAUCGCUACAUUAUCUGAAAAAUCACUAGAGCUAACAGAUACAACUAAUCUGAAAAAUCACUACAUUAUCUAAAGAUCACGAGAGGUAAUAGAUCUAGCAAAUAACAAAAUGAUAAAGAUUAUGCUGUAAAACUCCAACAAAUCGGGAUCACGAAUAGCCCAAUGAAUAUCUAGUUUGGGAGGUUUGUUAGACUGAGAUAGCCAUCCUGAGAGACGAGAAUUGAGACAAGAUCUCCAAGGAGAUGCUUGCAAUCAAAUCUCCAACUGUGAUUGAUGAAUACAUGUAGAUAUAGAUUUUGCAAUUGUAAUCUAAUUUCAAGAGUAUCAAUCGCAUCAUGUGGCAAGGUGCAAGAUUUAGAUACCAUGAAAGGAUAAGUUAAACACAUGUACAUGCCAAUUGGAAAGUUUCUUUCAUGCAAAUUAUUUACAACUUUUUCAGGGGCAAUUCAGUGGAUGCAUGUAUCUACGCAAAUCCUUAAUGCACCGAAUUUCUUCUUCUUUCUGCUAACUUGUAGGAUUUGGAGCCUUUCGAACCAAACGAAUAACCACCACAAAAUUCGAGUCAAUAUGUAAUAUACUACAACAACACAAGUUCUUAUACGGUGAAAUUCUAUAGGAGCCCUUCAGGAUGUAGAGUUUCUUUAAGCAAAAGACUUUUAAAUCACACCUUAUUACGAGUUAGCGGAAGAGUGUUAUUCCAAAUGGUAACGGUUCUCUCCUCCUACUUUAUCUCUCUUGAUAAAAAGAAACAUAAAAAAAAAAAAAAAAAAAACCAAUGCCAGCAGCAAAGCAAAACAGAACACUUUAAAUAGACUGGGGCUACAUAGGAAGUGCAAAGGAGAAAGAAGAGGAAGUAAAGGGGCGCCAAACAAAGGGAGCAACAUCAAAGGGAGGCACAAUGAGAGCUAGUGCUUCAACCAUUUACUUCAUCUCACUUCUUUUAUCAUUGCUUCUUAGUCCCACUUUUGCUAUCAAAAAGGUCAGCAUAUAAUUACUUGACAGCCUUCUUCAAUAAUUCAAUUACUAUACUAUCAGUGCCUUGUUUUUUCUUUUUCAGUCGAAGUAACAUGGUUUUUGUUUUGUUUUUCAUGUGUACUUAGUCUUAUGUGGUGUACUUGGGAGCUCAUUCUCACAGACCAGAAGUCUCAUCCAUCGACUAUGAUAGAGUAACAGAUUACCAUUAUUCGUUUCUUGGGUCAUUUUUGGGGAGGUAUAACGAAAUCUAUAUGCAUGUACAUAUUCAAAAUCCUCUGCUUUUUCUUGUUUUUGCUCGAGAUUCAGUGACUAAUAGAAUUUUCAUGCUUGGACUUCAAACAAUAACAGUAAAGAGAAGGCGCAAGAGGCAAUUUUCUACUCCUACACGAGACAUAUUAAUGGUUUUGCUGCAAUACUUGAUGAUGCAGAAGCUGCUGAGAUAUCUAGUAAGCAAUUUGGAUUAGUGGUUCUUCUCAAUUUCUCUGGGCUGUUUUAUCUUUAGUUCGUGUUCGUAACCGUUGACAUCAUAUUUUCCUCUUUGAGUACAGAACAUCCAGAAGUUAUAUCAGUGUUCCUGAAUAAAGGAAAGAAAUUACACACCACCAGGUCGUGGGAAUUUCUGGGGCUUGAGCAUGAUGGCAAAAUUCAUCCCAGUUCACUAUGGAAGAGGGCAAGAUUUGGUGAAGGCACCAUUAUUGGCAAUCUUGACACUGGUGAGUUUGGCUAGGUCCAAUCCUACUUAUUUGGCAUUCUUUUUGGAGUAAAGCAAUGUUGAUCAAUUCAGCAUUGCGGUUCAGUUAACUGCAGAUUGUAAGUUUUGCAUAUUUCAUCUAGGAGAACUGUUAGUAUUUUGCAGAUUUAGUAUAAAGUAUCCAGCCUUUUCCUUCAGUCUCUUCAGUUUACUGUUGAUAUACUGAUUCUCCUACAAGUAGGCAUAGAAGUUCUUUUUGGCUUUUUUAUGUAGUGCAAGCAAGAAAGUUGGCAAUUGAUAACUUGUAUCCGGAUCAUUGACUUGAUGAUUUAACCGGAUCAUUGACUUGAUGAUUUAAGAUAAAUCCUUUUUAUGUCACACUUAAACUGUUGUAAUUUGUAAUGACAAACAUAAAAGGUUUGGAGUCCUAAAAAUAAGCAAUAGUAAAUGAUUUAUUGAUUUUUCAAGAUCUCGCCGGGAUGCUGGCAUGACCAACCACUUUCGCACAAGACAAAAUGUUUAUCUAAUUGAGGCAGUCGUUAUUAAACAUUGGUUGACCAAUUGCCUAGCUUGAAAGAUUAUUUUAUUUGCAAGUGUUGAUGUACUUGAUUGAUUUUCAGUGGCUGCAGUCUCUUCUUUCCCCUACAGCUCCCGGGGCUCUACACGAUGUUUGCAAUAUACUUUGUCUUCUUUUAGGAAAGUAGGACCGAUACCACUUAAAAAUUUGGCAUCUAUUCAAAACAGUCAUCGAAGUUGUAACUCUGC